GUAAAAGUAGCCUAAAGGGCAACUAUUUGAUCAUUGAAUUAUUUUAUAUUUUGGAAUUGUUGUACAAAAUUUUUUUCCUGGUUAUUGACAUUGUAAUAUAAAGUCAAGAAGAAACCCAUCUGCUUUCAAAUGAAUAAAGAACCAGCACAUAAGAUUUCAUUAAUAUGCACAUCUCAAGCAUUGAAGAGUUUUCUAAAAGGUCCAUCCUUCCUGUCCUUAGCAGCUUCUGUUAGAGCAAGGAACCUCUUGAAGCCAGUCGUUGCAGCACCUCGUCCAAGUGCAGCUGCUCUGGUAAGCACAUCUUCUCGGGAAGCAAUAAAUCCAACUGUCUGAUUUGUAAUUGCAGGAGCUGGAGCAGCAGGUACAACUGAUGGUGCAAUCGAAGGCUGUGUAAUUGCUGGCCCAUGUUUGUUGAAGUCAUCCAGUAUACUCUGCUGAUCUGCCUUUUUAAGACCCUUAAGCUCCAGAAUACGCUGAAACUCCAUUGGUGUUCCCUCUGGUAGCAAUGCCCUAUAUGUAUCUGCCACAGAAUCUAUGGGGGAGAGUAUAACCUUCAAAAGUGCUUCAGCUUUACUCAUUUCCCGGCUUACAAACUUUGAAUAGCUAGCAGCACCUGAUGUCUGUUUCAGUUUUCAGUAAAAUAAAAUAAAAUUGUUAAAAAGAUUACUUUGGGUAAUGAUAAAGAAAUCAAAAGGAGAUCAGAUUUCAUAUAGGAAAUAAUAAUAUAAUAACUGAAACUUGUUCUUGAAAUACUUUGUUGCCGGACAAGCAUUAAUUGGCUUUUCUUGCCUCUCCAAGAAAAUAUAACAUGUGCCCAAAGUCAUCAAUACUGGCUACUGUAACACACCAGCUUUGUAUACCAUUACCAUAUCAGUGGCAGGUAAGUUUAUAUGGGCCAAAUCCAACAGUUAAGCUGCCUUGAGCUCGCUUCUCUUGACUUAAGCAGGCCAUAUGGGCUUCGGCUAUUACAGUAAUCCAUAAAUCACACUUGCAUAUAAUUCCAUAUAUGGCAGGCAUUUCACUAACUACUAUGAGACCAGGUGUGGGGCACAAAUAAAAGCUUCGCUGAUCCAAGGAACAAGUUCCAAAAAUCAGCUUCAUUUCAAACACUAUUCAAGUGUAAGAGAGUUAUUUUUGACUGAGAAUGAGAAAGAAAGUAAAUAUUAUUCCACGAUAUUUGAUCACUUGAAUAAGUAUUUGCAAGCAUCGACUCACCUGCCGACCGAGGGAAGGAAUCUCUAGAAGAAUCGUCUUUACAGCUUGAGUAUCUAAAAGCAUUUGUUGGGCUCCAGUUUCUGAUAUGUGCUUGCAUUUGAAAAUGUUGGCAUAAAAUCGUGGACCAAGAGAGGAUGCCAGCUUGUCCAAAAAGUACUGGAAAUGAACUGGAGAUAAAAGACUUCCGAGUACAGGAAUGCUGCUUGUAAGUAUCAUAUUUAUGCCGUUAACAUACUCUGAUUGGUCACCAACACUUUCAAGUGUACCCCAUGGAACACGUGUCAUCGUUACCAUUUCAGAAUCAAAUUUAGUUUCCAGGCCAUGCACUAGGGUCAUUAAUGCUUCUGUAAUAAGGCCUGAAAACUCCUCCUCAACAGCUGACAUAUCCACCCCUGCUGCUAAUUGAGGAUCAAUUAUUUUGGAUACACUUUCUGCCAGUUCACCUGACGUUUUUCGGCAGUAUUCAGCUGAAUUGAUAAUAUAGCAAAUCACCCUUUCAUCUCUGUCAGACAUCUUUAUUUGUCCAUCCAUGCCUGUAGCAGCAGCAACAAUACCCACACCACCCUUUGGUAGUCUUGCUUUAAGCUUCGCAACAUAUGCUUUGAGAAUUCUUUCAAAUACCUUAAACAAAUUAAAUAACGUCUGGUUCUUUGUCAGGGCACUGCACCUCUUUAAGCUCCGCUUGAUUAUAAGAAACAACUGCAUGCUACUGGAUAAAACAUUAUUCUGACUGCCCUCCUCAAUAUCCCAUGUUUCCUCCUGAACAAGUUUGUCGAGAUUCUCCAUCAGAGUUUUCUGUUCCAACUCAACAUAAAUUGUCAAGUGAGGCUCAAAGCAAGAUGAAAUAAUUCCGCGGAAGUUGAACCCAGCUCCUGGUACUGAUAAAUCUUUAUUUUCAUCCUUCUCUUCAGGCUCUCCUUGAUUAGCAGCAAGCUUUCUUUCAUACUUUUUUCGAAUAUCUGAUACACUUUGACUAUUACUGUCCUUGCCAAUUUCUUCUAUCUCAUUCCCAAUCUCUCUACUACUAGAGCCGCCUCCAAAUUUUUCAGCUAAUUCAUCCUCAAAUUCUAAAGUUCGUUGUAGUGCCAACAACAAAGUUCCAACGUCCGGCUUCUCUUUGACAUUAUCAAGUAUUCCCUCUAGUUGUUUCCUUGUCUUCUUACAGAACUGAAUACAAAGCCGAUAAGGAACGUGCCACAAGGAAGGAAAAAUCCUCCAUAUCUCCUCAUUUGUUCUUAUUCGACGCUUGAUCCAUGCAUAUCUUCGUUCAGUUUUGUCAAGCUUAGCUAGCUCAGCUCCUUCAAAGAUUUGUUCAUAUGAAGUAAGCUCCCUGCUGCAAAAAUUAUUUACCAACUCUUCCCUCACAGAUGGCUCCAAAGCAUCAACAACCAAGCAUGCCUCAGAUAAGUGCUGCAGUAAAUUAGUUUCUUCUGUCUCUUUCCCAGUACCUAAGCUUGAGAAAUCUGAAAACACAUGUGACUUGAGUAUUUGUUUGAUAUUUUUAAACUUCUCUCUGAGUUCUGUAAUUUUUGGUAUAUCCCUAUAGGCCUCAAAAUGACUACAUAAUUGGUUCACUGCCUCUAGCUGAGCAGCUGCCUCUUUAUACUGUCGUUUAGAAGCCAUUAUCUGAAGUUGCUCAACAGCAGACACCAACAUGGUCAGACGAUGAAGAGCAGUAAUAGUAGUUGUUAUAUGCUUCUUUGCAAAGUCCAACUUCUUAAUGUCACGGCAUAUUUCCUGAACCAUUGUCUCACUCUGCUCAGCUUUGGUUUUUAUUUCUCGUAUCUUGUACAUGAGUUCCUCUACAGCAUGAGUAGCGGCAGCAAGAUCUUCCUUGGCCUUGGUUCUGGAAUUGCUCUGUUGGCGAACAGCAGCUAGUAUUCCAGCAUCAACAUGGCGUAUCUCACUAUGUAUCUUUUGCAUAAGUGGCUCAACGCCAGAUAAAGAUGCCUCAGUAGGGAACAUCUGAUUGAUGUACUCCAAUGCGCUGGCUUUGUCCAUUGCAAAGGAAAAUUAAGAAUGCCAAUUGAUAGAAAAAGAUCUUGCGUCUGUUGAUGGUGUAAAUUUUCGGGCUCAAUUGGAUUCUGCUUGUGAGCGAGCGAACGAGAGCGAGAAAGAGAGAGAGAAACAGAAGCUCAUCUGCUGGAUUCAGACCUCUUCUUCCUCUAGCGUGAAGUAGACCGGGGCGUGAAAGAAUCCGGUCCGAUCAAAUUCGGUUAUUUGAUAAAGGUAAAUCGGUCGAAU
rnacentral:misc_RNA from 1 species